rnacentral:rRNA from 1 species
AUGGCGGAUCCCGGCGAUACCGCGACACCCGCCGCCGUCGUCUCCUCCCCGUGGGACGACGUCCCCGAUGACUUCUUCCUCUCCGCCUCCAUCUCGCCCCCUACCCCUCCGCCAGCCCCUGCUCCCAUCCCUUCCACCUCCCCUCCCGCUCCAUCGGCUCUCCGCUCAGCAUCCCUUCCGGUCACUUCCAUCCCUCCUGCAUCCGCCUCCGCCUCGUUCUCCGGUUCCCUCCACCGCGCUAUUGCCCCUCAGCCCAUCCACCCCAGCCACUCCCUCCCGGCAUUCUCGGCCGCUUCUCUCCCCGCGGUAGCCGACGUCUGCCCUCCGCCCCCGGGCCCCCACCAUUCCAACUCGCUCUCGGAGUUUGCCGCGUCCGCAUCCCAAUCCCGCGUCCACCGCCCUCCCCCUCGCGCCGCCGUGCGCGCGGACCGCCCGCCCCCGCUGGAGCUGCGCCCGAGGCCGCCGAGGGAGUCACAGUCUGGCAUCGCCCUCUGUGCUCUCGCCUGCUGUGCUGCUCCUGGUGCCGGGGCCUCCACUCACCUCUGGGCGGCGGGCGAGGCUGGCGUCAGGGUUUGGGACCUCGCGGAUGCCUUCCGAUCACCCACAUCUCCGCGGCGGUGGGGAGACGAGGCGAGCGCGCCCUUUCGGGAGUCGCGCAAGACACCGCCUGCAAUCUGCCUCGUGGCUGAUCCCGGCCGCGGUUUGGUGUGGAGCGGCCACACCAACGGGCGGAUCAUGGGUUGGGGUGCUGACCCAGGUCCGGAGGCCGGGGAGCGCAUUGGGUGGGAUGCACACCGUGGACCAGUAUUUGCGAUGGUCAUCUCUCCUUAUGGUGAUUUAUGGUCUGGAUCUGAAGGUGGAAUAAUUAAAGUAUGGAAUGGACAAGCAAUUGAGAAAUCUCUUGCUUUAGAACGAGAAGAAAAGUGUAAGGCCUCCCUUUUAGUUGAAAGAUCAUUCAUUGACCUUUGGACCAUGGUCAGUGACGGAGGGGCCUGCCCCUUACCUUCCGUAGAUGUAAAACUUCUAUUGUCUGACAAUUCCAGAUCGAAAGUAUGGAGUGCUGGUUACCUCUCAUUUGCACUCUGGGAUUCUCGCACUAAGGACCUCCUGAAAGUGGUAAAUGUGGAUGGCCAAGUUGAUACUCGUUUUGACGUCUUAUCUGCUCAGGAUCCAUAUGGCCAUGAAACAAAACAAAACCUUUUCUCCUCUCCGAAGAAAGAGAAAGCUCGUAGUCCUGUUAAUUUUUUCCAGAGAUCACGGAAUGCUUUGAUGGGAGCAGCUGAUGCAGUUCGGCGUGUUGCUGCUAAAGCAGGAUUUGGAGAUGAUACUCGAAGAAUAGAAGCAUUAGUAAUGUCAAUGGAUGGGAUGAUCUGGACCGGAUCUGCAAAUGGCUCAGUUGCUCAAUGGGAUGGUAGUGGUAAUCGUUUGCAAGAGUUUCAGCAUCAUUCAUCUUCUGUUCAAAGUAUUUUCAACUUUGGCACAAGAUUGUGGGUGGGGUACAUGGAUGGCAACAUCCAGCUCUUGGACCUGGAUGGCAACUUGCUGGGGGGAUGGAUUGCACAUAGUAGUCCAAUUCUGAGUAUGGCUGUCGGAAGUUCAUAUAUAUUUACAUUAGCUGGUCAUGGGGGAGUCCGUGGAUGGAAUUUAUCAUCUCCAGGGCCUGCUGACAGCAUUUUGCGUUCUGAAUUGACGGAGAAAGAGACAUCAUACAAAAACAUUGAAUACAUGAAGGUGUUAGUAUGUUCUUGGAAUGUUGGGCAAGAAAAAGCAUCUUAUGAGUCACUAAGAGCUUGGCUGAAAUUCCCAACUCAAGAGGUUGGGGUAGUAGUAGUUGGACUGCAAGAGGUGGAGAUGGGCGCUGGUUUUCUUGCAAUGUCGGCAGCUAAAGAAACGGUAGGGCUAGAGGGAAGCCCAAACGGGGAGUGGUGGUUGGAUGCAAUUGGGCAAAUCUUGAAAGGCCGCUCUUUUGAGCGUGUUGGUUCAAGGCAGAUGGCUGGGUUACUUACUGCUGUAUGGGUAAGAACAAAUCUGAAGCAUUUUGUCGGUGAUAUCGACAAUGCUGCAGUAGCAUGUGGAUUAGGACGCGCUAUUGGCAACAAGGGAGCAGUCGGAUUGAGGAUGAGAAUACAUGAUAGAAGCAUUUGUUUUAUAAAUUGUCAUCUCGCUGCACAUAUGGAAGCUGUGAGCCGGCGGAAUGAAGACUUUGACCAUGUCUUUAGAACAAUGACCUUUGCCACCCCUUCAAGUGGAUUAUUGACAACAUCAAUUUCUGGUUCUGCCGGUCAGCUUCUUCAAGCAAAUGGAUCAAGAAUGCCUGAGUUGUCAGAUACGGACAUGAUUGUCUUUCUUGGUGACUUCAAUUACCGGCUUUACGAUAUUUCGUACGAAGAGGCAAUGGGGUUGGUUUCCCGGAGACGCUUUGACUGGCUGAGGAAGAAUGACCAGCUGCGAGCAGAAAUGAGAUCCGGGAGAGUCUUCCAGGGAUUACGUGAAGGAGAUUUCCAAUUCCCACCUACUUACAAAUUUGAGAAACACAAAACUGGCUUAUCAGGGUAUGAUUGUAGCGAGAAGAAACGCAUUCCUGCCUGGUGUGACCGGGUUCUAUACCGUGACAGCCAAGCUAGUUCAGGAACUGAGUGUUCCUUGGAUUGUCCUGUGGUUUGUUCAGUAUCACUGUAUGACUCUUGCAUGGAAGCAACAGACAGUGAUCACAAACCUGUAAAAUGCUUGUUCAAUUUGGAUGUUGCACGUGUUGACAAACAGACGAUGAGGCAGAAAUAUGGGGAGAUCAUGAGUUCAAAUAAGAAAGUGUUGCACUUGCUCCAGGGGCUAAAAGCAUUCCCUGAAGCAAAUGUGAGCACCAAUGACAUCAUUCUGCAAGACCAAACUCCCUAUAUUUUUAAACUACAAAACAGAAGUCCAGAAGACAGAGCUUGUUUUGAGAUCACUGGCCAAGCACCAACUUCUUCUGGCACAGAUUCUGCCGGUUUCCCUACCUGGCUCAAGGUUUCUCCAGCAGCUGGUAUAAUCUGCCCUGGACAGACGGUAGAGGUCACUUUGCAGCAUGGAGACCUGCGUGGAACAUCAUGGAAUAAUUUGUCUGGGGCUAACCAAGAAAAGGCAGCACAGUUAUCAGUGAAAAUAACUGGAGUGUGUUCUACCGUUGCCAAAUGUUACGGAGUACGUGUGCAAUGCCAGAAGGGCCCGAGCACAUUUCCUUUCAAAAGGUUCUAA